rnacentral:rRNA from 1 species
UACGUAGGGACCAAGCGUUGUUCGGAUUUACUGGGCGUAAAGGGCGCGUAGGCGGCGUGUUAAGUCAGCUGUGAAAUCUCCGAGCUUAACUCGGAACGGUCAGCUGAUACUGAUGUGCUAGAGUGCAGAAGGGGCAAUCGGAAUUCUUGGUGUAGCGGUGAAAUGCGUAGAUAUCAAGAGGAACACCUGAGGUGAAGACGGGUUGCUGGGCUGACACUGACGCUGAGGCGCGAAAGCGUGGGGAGCGAACCGG